UUUCCCGAGUGGGGCGGUGUUCGCUCAGGGCGCGGACUAGAUGAAGUGGACUAAACCACAGCCUGCCAGAAGCCCUGGUGCGCAGAAGAGCCCCGACACAGCACGUCCGAGGCUGCCAGCCAGGGCCUGCUGGCCAGGGUGGCCCUCCACUGGUGUCUGGAAACGUGGCUGCGAAACAGCUCCCUACACUGACAACAACUUUCCCGCUACGGGAACAAGGGUUUGAGCCCUGGGCCGGGAAGAUCCCACAUGCUGUGGAGCAACUAAGCCCGUGCGCCAUAACUACUGAGCCUGCUCUCUGGAGCCCAUGAGCCACAACUACUGAAGCCCGUGUAACACAACUACUGAGUUCGUGUGCCUAGAGCCCGUGCUCUGCAACAAGAGAAGCCACCGCGAUGAGAAGCCCAUGCACUGCAACAAAGAGUAGCCCCCGCUCGCUGCAACUAGAGAAAGCCUGUACGCAGCAAUGAAGAA